rnacentral:rRNA from 1 species
UACGAAGGGUGCAAGCGUUAAUCGGAAUUACUGGGCGUAAAGCGCGCGUAGGUGGUUCAGCAAGUUGGAUGUGAAAGCCCCGGGCUCAACCUGGGAACUGCAUCCAAAACUACUGGGCUAGAGUACGGUAGAGGGUGGUGGAAUUUCCUGUGUAGCGGUGAAAUGCGUAGAUAUAGGAAGGAACACCAGUGGCGAAGGCGACCACCUGGACUGAUACUGACACUGAGGUGCGAAAGCGUGGGGAGCAAACAGGAUUAGAUACCCCAGUAGUCC